AUGUUACCAUCUGGCCUAGACGCACAGUUCGGGACCCCCUACCCGAGAUCCGCCGGUUUUGACACCGACAUUGGUGCUUUCAUUGAGAGUUCCUCUGUGUCGUCGCCGUCAGGCUCGAUGGCUCCUACGAUCAUCGAUAGCGAUGCAGUCCAGGGUGAGACCUUCCUCCCCAGACAGAUCUUCGUCUUCGGUGGCUUUGCACUGCGGGCCAAUUCGCUUGGCCGUCUGGAGCAGAUCGAAAGCUACGCCCCUGGCCGUCAGGUCAGAUUCGAAAAUUUAAACUACACGGCUGACAUCCGCGGGGACUUGAUCUUCGAUGGAUUCGAGCCACUACCGAGCGCGCCGCACUGUCACGACGAGCAUGAUCUAGCUCUGCCGCCAAACAGUGCCCUGGAGGCCGCAUCCGCAUCGGCUCCGGCCCUUAAUUCGGAGCCAACUGCGCCGAUCGAGGACGGGCGGUUGGACGCCACCUCGGGGGCUGCAACCCCAACGGCGAUUGAGCCAAGCACCAGCCCCGUACUCUGCGAGACCCGUGACUCCAAGGAGCCGGACUCCUCUCCGGACUCCGAGCCCCCCGUGCCCCUGCCGAUCGAAUCCGAUUGGGCACCGAUCAUGGAGUUCACUGCCGCAGACAUCUUUCAGCACUCGCCUUUUGGCGAUAUCCUGAAGUCACUGAAGUCUCUCUCUUUAUCAGGAGAGCCCUGGCCGGACUACAGUCAGCAAGGUUGGGGUAUGGACGAUGAAGAAAUUCAAAGCCCACCCACCACCCACUUUGUAGCCACUGUUGACGACUUAACCGACAUGCUCGACUUCGACUCCAAAGAUAUCGACGGUAUGGACGCCGAUGAAGGAGAUGAUGAAGAACCAGCGCCUACUAGGCCCUGGAAAGCCACCUCGUCAUGUGACAUAUACAUGGUGGACACCCCAAAAGAGGGAGAUGGCGAUGGAACAGAAGAGGAUGACCCCUCCAAGAAAUAG
rnacentral:rRNA from 1 species